rnacentral:rRNA from 1 species
GACGAACGCUGGCGGCGUGCUUAACACAUGCAAGUCGAACGGAAAGGCCCUGCUUUUGUGGGGUGCUCGAGCGGCGAACGGGUGAGUAACACGUGAGUAACCUGCCCUUGACUUUGGGAUAACUUCAGGAAACUGGGGCUAAUACCGGAUAGGAGCUCCUGCUGCAUGGUGGGGGUUGGAAAGUCUCGGCGGUUGGGGAUGGACUCGCGGCUUAUCAGCUUGUUGGUGGGGUAGUGGCUUACCAAGGCUUUGACGGGUAGCCGGCCUGAGAGGGUGACCGGCCACAUUGGGACUGAGAUACGGCCCAGACUCCUACGGGAGGCAGCAGUGGGGAAUAUUGCACAAUGGGCGGAAGCCUGAUGCAGCAACGCCGCGUGCGGGAUGACGGCCUUCGGGUUGUAAACCGCUUUCGCCUGUGACGAAGCGUGAGUGACGGUAAUGGGUAAAGAAGCACCGGCUAACUACGUG